GAAAAUCUACCCUUGAAAAGGCUUUACUAUAAAUAAUAGGGUUAACAGCCCAGCAGACUGUGGCCUCGAAAACAUUGUUAAAAUCACGAGCCACCUCCAAACAAAACCGUUAAGAAUAAAAAGUUCAGAUUGAACGGGUAACUACAAUUACAUGAAUGGCCGUAAACUUAAUUCCUUGUCCUUUUUUUAACUCCACCUCCUGGUCCUCAGCAGAGAUUACUAUGUUGCAAGUAUUUGGAACAAGUGCCCAGUCUGCGAAUAAUAUCCCUCUGGUAGUCUCAAAGACCUUAGCUAAACGGUAAU